UAGAGAAAUCCCACAACGUGCUUGUUUCUGAAGCUCUCCUUGUUCAGGAAAUGGGUGUAGAGAGGGAUGUUGCUGAAAUCAUAACGCUGCAAUCAGAUCUGGGGACCCGGUGACGUGACAAAUUUCCUGUGCAAAUCAUCAGAAUAUUUAUAUAGAGGUGUAAAUAUACGUGGGCACGUAUAUGUACACAGAACGCCUUCAUGUCAAGCUGAAUUCCCAAGAGACCCCUGUGCAAUCAUCUGCCCUUUUAGGUCCUUACAAACGGCAGGUCCUCCAAAUACAGAGAAUGGCUUAUUAAAGUCUGUCCUCACAUUGUUUGUAAAUGAUGCUGCCGUCUGAGGGGGAAAAGGAGGAUACAUUGGAUCGAGCAAUCAAGCAACACAACAUUUUUUUUUUCUUGUGGCUUUGCCUUGACAGGGGGAUAUAUCAAGACUGCUCGUCUAUCCAUCUCUGACAAAAGCGAACCCCAUUGCAUCACUGUGGUUUUCUUGUUGUUGUUAUGUCCCUUUUCUCCCCUCCCCCCAAAUAUAAUCCUCAGGAGCUGAGAAGGCUGAGUUUGGUUUAUUUUCAUCUUCUUCAUGUUUCUCUUGCUGCAUGAUUGUCCUGCUGUUUGCCAAUUUUUUUGUCCUCCUUCCUUCCUCUCCGUCGACACAAUGGACGACAACAGCAUCACACUCGCUUAUCGACACUCUGUGGACUAUUAUAAUCAGGAGAGACCUCAAAAAUGGAUUUAGUGGAGCAGCAACAGCAGUAGCCCAGCUCUGUGUACUGCUGGAUAUAGAUUCAGAGCCACAAAGCUUUUCCUCCGACGCUCUGCAGAGCACCGGCAUCACAUGAGAAACCACAUGAUGAACAGGACUGCUCGGCUGAAUUGGUCAACUACUGGGCAAAAUAAAAAAAUAAAAAAAUUCAAACGAUGCUUGCUCCCUCUCUAGUGGCUGAUAAAUAAUUUCCCAUUUUAUUUGCGCCUGGUUUUGAACCUCUAAAGAACAGAGAUGUACAGAGGAUGCUGUUCCACAGACAUUAGCUUGAUGGCAGUCAUAUUACUUGUUAGGUGGCACAACACAGUAAUAUCCAUCAAAGCCAGUUCCUGUAAUGAGUACUGUAUAUACAGUAUGAAUGUAUUCCAGCUGAUCUCUCGUUUAUUUUCUUUUAGAUUUAUUAAAACUUUUUUGCCUUUCUAAAUCUAUGUAGUUAAGGCAUACAGUACUACACUGUGUUUAAAGAGAAGCUAUAUACUAGAGCUGAAUGCAAUUCUUCCUUUCUCCUAACAAAUUGCCUUUUUCUCUAUUUUUUAUUCCUCUUUUUGUCAAUAUGCAUUCUCAAGUGAACACGUCUACUCUUCAAAUUGCAGUUUUGCCCUAACAUAGAAAUGUGCAUGCCAUAGCAAUCCAAGAAUACAGUCUUUAAGCAAUGCAAUUGUUGCCAGAUUUCACUGAGCACAGACUGCCAUAAAGGAAGACUACCAUGCCACACAUGUAAUUUAUUGUGUCUGUGUUACUUGCUUUGAUGAAAAUGUAUGUCAGUUAAGGACAAGGCUCUCAUCUCAUCAGAAGGGUACUUAUAUGCUAUGUAUAAAAAUGAACCCCUUUCACACAGAAAAAAUUGUUAGGUCUAGACAAACAGAAAUUAUACUUAUUAGAUGAUCUCUGCUCCCACUUCAACAGCACAAGCAUAUAAAGUUAAAAAGAUUUUAAAAACACCAUACAUGCAGUACAUACACAAUGUCCCCUUUUCACUUAAAUAGAUCAACUAAAGAUGUACAUACCAAAUGUAUUUACAGUAUUAACAUGUUUCACUUAUAAUACAAAGUUUUAAAAAAUUAAAAUAAUAAAAGAAAAUAACUUUAU